AUGGAAAUUUAUUAAGAUACAUUUUAUUAUCUGUUUUGUUUUUACAGCUCAAUCACCGGAUCCUUGCAACUGCAACCCUAAUUUCAGUGAGUGCCUUAUGGUUGUCAACAAGAAAACUGGACAUACAUCCUGCAGUACGGUCUGCGAUCGGAGGCGUCUUUGGCAUGGCGUCUCUUCAGGUCACCUUGGGAAUUUCGACCCUUCUUUCAUAUGUACCUGUUUCUUUGGGUACUGCACAUCAGGCUGGAGCCUUAACGCUUCUGACAUUUAUGUUACUGCUUAAUCACACAGUUCGAAGGCCAUCCUCGACCCUUCUCAAAUCUCUGCUUGUAGUUGUCAAGGCAAACAAAUAUACAAAAGUUUAGACUAUUAUUAUUUUCAGGCUAAGCAUUGUGUUGAGCUCCUUUUCUAAUUGUCCAUUGUCGGAAUCUUCUUUAAUUGGUUCGUACAUUUGAAGCCUGAAAAAAUCAUGAUGAUACAAUUCAUCUGUUAA